rnacentral:rRNA from 1 species
UGCCAGCAGCCGCGGUAAUUCCAGCUCCAAUAGCGUAUAUUUAAGUUGUUGCAGUUAAAAAGCUCGUAGUUGGAUUUCGGGUGGGUUGUAGUGGUCCGGUUCGCUGUGUACUGCUACGGCCUUCCUUUCUGCCGGAAACGGGCUCUUGGGCUUUACUGUCUGGGACUCGGAGUCGGCGAGGUUACUUUGAGUAAAUUAGAGUGUUCAAAGCAAGCUUACGCUCUGAAUACAUUAGCAUGGAAUAACACGAUAGGACUCUGGCCUAUCUUGUUGGUCUGUAGGACUGGAGUAAUGAUUAAGAGGGACAGUCGGGGGCAUUCGUAUUUCAUUGUCAGAGGUGAAAUUCUUGGAUUUAUGAAAGACGAACUUCUGCGAAAGCAUUUGCCAAGGAUGUUUUCAUUAAUCAAGAACGAAAGUUGGGGGCUCGAAGACGAUUAGAUACCGUCGUAGUCUCAACCAUAAACGAUGCCGACUAGGGAUUGGCAGGUGUUCUUUUGAUGACCCUGCCAGCACCUUAUGAGAAAUCAAAGUUUUUGGGUUCCGGGGGGAGUA